rnacentral:rRNA from 1 species
AUUGAACGCUGGCGGCAGGCCUAAUACAUGCAAGUCGAGCGAGCGGCGGACGGGUGAGUAAUGUCUGGGAAACUGCCUGAUGGCGGGGGGUAACUACUGGAAACGGUAGCUAAUACCGCAUACCAUCAGAUGUGCCCAGAUGGGAUUAGCUAGUAGGUGGGGUAAUGGCUCACCUAGGCGAAGCUCCCUAGCUGGUCUGAGAGGAUGAACAGCCACACGGGAACUGAGACACGGUCCAGACUCCUACGGGAGGCAGCAGUGGGGAAUAUUGCACAAUGGGCGCAAGCCUGAUGCAGCCAGGCCGCGUGGAUGAAGAAGGCCUUCGGGUUGUAAAGUACUUUCAGCGGGGAGGCGUUACCCGCAGAAGAAGCACCGGCUAACUCCGUGCCAGCCGCCGCGGUAAUUC